rnacentral:lncRNA from 1 species
UGGGAUUCAAAAUUCAGUCUAGGUUUCAGCUUCUUCCUGAUAGGUAAGAAUUUAUGGUGUAAGAACCUGCAAGGGUUAAUGAAUGUCUAGUUUCCUACCUGGCAGCACAGUAUGGGUUUUCUUCUCUUAGGGCAUAUUACUUGGUUUCUUUGGGAGGUAGAAAUUGAGACAAAGAGGGUAGCAGAUCUGCUAUGGAUACGGUGUAUGAAAAAUCAAAGUGAGGAAGCAUUCGUGGACAGGGCAGGUUCUGUCCAUGAUAUGUGUAAAUCAGAAGUCUCAGCCCACCAGCAGGGAACUUUAAAUCCAAGACUUCCCAUGAGGAAUUCCUGAGUUUGAUAGAAAUGAUGAGAUUGUAAUACCUCUAUCAUGACCAUUCCUUGGCUCAGAACUGACUGGAAAGGAUGUGCUCUCAUCUCAAAGUUUGAGUAGGAGCCUAAAGGUACAAACGGUAUCUAACAGUAGUGCACUUCACCUUUUAAAGGUAGCCCUCAUUGCUUUCUUUUUAUUUCAUUAUAUAUAUACAUACUGUAGAUGGGUACAAUACCUUUAUUUUAUUUAUUUGUCUUUAUGUGGUGCCGAGGAUCAAACCGAGGACCUGACGCAUGCUGGGCAAUCUCUCUACCCAUGAGCCACAACCUCAGCCCCUCCCUGCUUAUUUUAAAAGGGACAUUUUUUUUUUCUUUUCCUCUUUUCCCUCUCUCUCUCUCCCUAACCUGGGGACUGGGGAAUACCUUGGGGCAAGAUUACUUCUCCCAAAUGGGGAAGUGAAUUUCACCGCACCUCAGGGCGCACCAGGAAUGCAGCCUUUGAAGACCUCCUUUAGAGCUCUCUGCUGUCCCUGAUGGGCAGAACUACAGCCUCUGGGACUGGAUGGAGUUCCCUGUGCUUCACCUUUGUUUGCAAAGCAAUAAAC